rnacentral:rRNA from 1 species
UAACGCGUGAGGAACCUGCCUCAAAGAGGGGGACAACAGUUGGAAACGACUGCUAAUACCGCAUAAGCCCACAGCUCGGCAUCGAGCAGAGGGAAAAGGAGUCAUCCGCUUUGAGAUGGCCUCGCGUCCGAUUAGCUAGUUGGUGAGGUAAUGGCCCACCAAGGCGACGAUCGGUAGCCGGACUGAGAGGUUGAACGGCCACAUUGGGACUGAGACACGGCCCAG